GAACGCGAAGAACCUUACCAGGUCUUGACAUCCUUUGACCACUCUAGAGAUAGAGCUUUCCCUUCGGGGACAAAGUGACAGGUGGUGCAUGGUUGUCGUCAGCUCGUGUCGUGAGAUGUUGGGUUAAGUCCCGCAACGAGCGCAACCCUUGUCAUUAGUUGCCAUCAUUCAGUUGGGCACUCUAAUGAGACUGCCGGUGACAAGCCGGAGGAAGGUGGGGAUGACGUCAAAUCAGCACGGCCCUUACGUCCGGGGCUACACACGUGUUACAAUGGGGGGUACAGAAGGUCGCUACCUGGUGACAGGAUGCUAAUCUCCAAAACCUCUCUCAGUUCGGAUUGGAGUCUGCAACCCGACUCCAUGAAGCUGGAUUCGCUAGUAAUCGCGCAUCAGCCAUGGCGCGGUGAAUACGUUCCCGGGUCUUGUACACACC
rnacentral:rRNA from 1 species